rnacentral:tRNA from 2 species
GCCGAUGUAGCUCAGCUGGUUAGAGCGUUGGAUUCAUAACCCGAAGGUCGGCGGUUCGAGUCCGCCCAUCGGCA